rnacentral:lncRNA from 1 species
GAAGGUGGAGAGCGGGCUGCUGCCGUUGCUCGGCCGCGCGGCGGAUGCCGGGGGUUGCGUCGACCUGCAGGACGUGUUCUUGCGGCUGACCUUCGACACGACGACCAGACUGGUCUUCGGGGUCGACCCCGGCUGCCUGUCUGCCGGGCUGCCGACCGUGCCGUUCGCGAAGGCCGUGGACGACGCCAUGGCCGCGCUCUUCCUCCGCCACAUAGUGCCUGCAGCCUGGUGGAAGGCGAUGCGGCGGCUGGGAGUAGGACCGGAGAAGAAACUUGCCGCGGCCCGCAUAGUCAUGGACCGGUUCAUCGCCAAAACCAUCGAGGAAAAGAAGCAAGCUUAUGCGAAGAGGGAAUCAGAUGACGAAGAAUCCGACUUAUUAUCAGCGUACAUAGAAGAAAAGGAGCUUGACUCCUCCUCCACAUCCGAUGACGAAAAGUUUCUCCGAGACACCGCGAUGAACUUCAUGCUCGCAGGGCGCGACACGACAGGCUCCGGCCUCUCCUGGUUCUUCUGGCUCCUCUCCAAGAAUCCGCGCGUAGAAGAGAAGCUCCUCCAGGAACUGAACACGCUUUCGCCCCCCCAAAAAGGUGAACUCGCCGUCUUCGACUCCGAAGAGCUUGGUAAGUUGGUCUACCUCCACGCCGCCUUAUGCGAAUCGCUCCGCCUCUUCCCGCCGGUCCCCGUAGAGCACAAAGGAAUUCUCGAACGUGACAUUCUCCCCAGCGGCAUCGAGGUAAACCCUAGCAUGAAGAUACUUGUGUCGUUGUACGUGAUGGCGAGGAGGGAGGAGGUGUGGGGGAAGGACUGCAUGGAGUUUAGACCGGAGAGGUGGAUAUCGGAGAAGGGGAAGGUGCGAUACGAGCCAUCGUAUAGAUUCUUAUCGUUCAACUCGGGGCCGAGGACGUGCUUGGGGAAGGACAUGGCGUUUACGCAGAUGAAGGCAGUGGCGGCCGCCGCCAUCUACAACUUCCGCAUCGAGGCCGUCGAAGGGUUCGUUGCGGAGCCCAAUUUCUCCAUUAUUCUGCAUAUGAAGAAUGGUCUAAUGGUUAGGGUUAGGAGGAGGGGAAGUGAAUGAGGAGGGUGAAGAUGACAAGGGACGAUUGGUGCAUAUUUUCGUAGUAUGUUAUAUUGUUACGUUGCCUACUGCUAUGUGAAGCUAUUGCAUGUACGUAGCUACCUAAGGUGUAGUUUGGAAUGAUAUUAAGAUCUAUUGGAUAUUAAGUACCAUAUAAAAAUAUAAUGUCUUUAGGCAAAAUAAAACUGACAUGAACACAUAUAGAAAAACACUUCACAGUUUUAUGAUGGAGUUGUUGAAACUUUUACUAUAACUAACGCAUCAUGAUAUGACAUAUUUUUUUAAGGGGCAAUUGCUUAUAUACUUUUGAAAAAUUUUCAACUUUUUGAUUUAUCCCUCUUAAAAGGAUAAUAUUGAAAAUGCCCUUUUUACGUUCCAAUCUAUUUCUAAUAUACCCUAGAGUUAAUAUCUGUUAAUGAACUCUAUUAUCUCUAUGAAAUUACUAUUUUGUCAUUUCAAAUAUACCCUUCUACCGAUUUUUCUUAUUUGUUCUUAAGUUAGGAAUACAAAAAGUAUUUUACUUUUUGGUCUUUUCAAAUAUACUCUUUUACCAUAACCAACAUUUCUUAUUUGCCCUUAAGUUAAUAGCAAAAGUGGUAUUUUAUUUUUUUUUUAACUAUGAUAGAUAUUUAACUCACGUUUAACCCAAGUUAAUUUAACGGGUGGUAACUAUAGAGAUAUUUUGGAAUAACGGAGGAACAUAUGAGGGGUAUAUUGGAAAGAAAAAAAAAUAAGGGUAAAUGAGAUAUUUUUGAAGUUUUGAGAGGUAUAUAGGCAAUUAUCUAUUUUUUAAAAAUUUAACAAUACUUAAAAAUAUUUCGAUAUGAUUUAGCGUUACAUUUGAGAGCGUCGGUUAAAACGUCGGCAAAUAAAAAGUGACCACGUAAUUGCUUUAAAGUGUGAGAAUUUUUUUGAAAUCCAGACGCCUUAAAACAUAGGACAAUUAAAAAUAAUAGGAAACUUUAUCAUUUAACAAAUUGGUUUGAUACAAUGGAUUUAAAUGAUGAUAUUUUAUGAAUCGUCAAUAUUUACUAUAUUGUAAGGACACUUGGAAUAUUUUUCUCAAGCACUAUCUAAAAAGUGUUCUUAUAUUGAGGUUUUUUUUUGUGUCCAUAACAUAAUAUUACAUACGAAAAUAAACAGAGCAUGUUUCAAUCAUAUUGCAUGCAUGAAUAAGCAGAAUAAUUUUUAAUCAUAUUUUUUUAACCACAUAUAAGAUCAUUUCUCCACAAUUGCAAACAUUUAAUUUCCACAAUUUUAUCCAUAACUGGGGAGUAUUUUUCUAUAUACUUAGGCCCCAACCCUUUUGUUUUUCCUCCACCAGAAAACAUUGUGUUGUCACGUUAUAUGAGUACAUACCACAUGUAGCAAAAAAAUAUAUCUUCAUUUGUUUCCCUUUUUUUAUAAAAAAAUAAAGUUUGCCUAAUAUAUAAAUAUAUAUAUACAUCAAUAAGUGCAAACACACCCUUAAUCUGAAAGAGGUAUUAAUUGCGAACGUUUUUAAUAAACAAUCUAUGAAUAGUCAUUGUCAGAGUCUUAUAGAAAAUGGAACAUAUCAUUAAUACCUAAUAGGAACAUAUUAUUAGUAAUUAAUGGUUGCACAAUAAUUGCAAUUAAGUUGAUUAGUUUCGAAAAGCAUGGUUAGCCUCUUAAAUUAGAACUCUUAGGGAUAUGACAAUUAUUGCUUAGACCAGCUGUUAUGUAGAUUAUGCUCCGGAGCUAUUCCGAUUCCGAUUCGAGCUUAUUUCGAUUCCGAUAUUCUGAUUCCAAUUCCAACUUCGAACCAAACACGCCCUUAGUUUAAAUACUAAAACUUCUGAAUUUUUACAAGUUCAUUUUAUUUCUUGGCAAUUUUAAAUCAUGGAAUAUGAAAUAAUAUUUAAUUAUAUUUAAAAUAAACUGAAAUAAGUAAAUUAUUCGGCAUGGAAGGGUAAAUUAUCGAUCAUGUUAUAAGAAAAUUAUUACGAUUUACCUCUUUCUUUUUUUCUUUACGUUCACAUAGUAAGGUGGUUGAAUUGAAAGUAAAGAGAAUUAAUUGUAACAUGAGAAUAGUACAUAAGCCAGUCAUAUAUUUUACUCUAUGUUUUUUAAAAAUUUAACAAUACUUAAAAAUAUUUCGAUAUGAUUUAGCGUUACAUUUGAGAGCGUCGGUUAAAACGUCGGCAAAUAAAAAGUGACCACGUAAUUGCUUUAAAGUGUGAGAAUUUUUUUGAAAUCCAGACGCCUUAAAACAUAGGACAAUUAAAAAUAAUAGGAAACUUUAUCAUUUAACAAAUUGGUUUGAUACAAUGGAUUUAAAUGAUGAUAUUUUAUGAAUCGUCAAUAUUUACUAUAUUGUAAGGACACUUGGAAUAUUUUUCUCAAGCACUAUCUAAAAAGUGUUCUUAUAUUGAGGUUUUUUUUUGUGUCCAUAACAUAAUAUUACAUACGAAAAUAAACAGAGCAUGUUUCAAUCAUAUUGCAUGCAUGAAUAAGCAGAAUAAUUUUUAAUCAUAUUUUUUUAACCACAUAUAAGAUCAUUUCUCCACAAUUGCAAACAUUUAAUUUCCACAAUUUUAUCCAUAACUGGGGAGUAUUUUUCUAUAUACUUAGGCCCCAACCCUUUUGUUUUUCCUCCACCAGAAAACAUUGUGUUGUCACGUUAUAUGAGUACAUACCACAUGUAGCAAAAAAAUAUAUCUUCAUUUGUUUCCCUUUUUUUAUAAAAAAAUAAAGUUUGCCUAAUAUAUAAAUAUAUAUAUACAUCAAUAAGUGCAAACACACCCUUAAUCUGAAAGAGGUAUUAAUUGCGAACGUUUUUAAUAAACAAUCUAUGAAUAGUCAUUGUCAGAGUCUUAUAGAAAAUGGAACAUAUCAUUAAUACCUAAUAGGAACAUAUUAUUAGUAAUUAAUGGUUGCACAAUAAUUGCAAUUAAGUUGAUUAGUUUCGAAAAGCAUGGUUAGCCUCUUAAAUUAGAACUCUUAGGGAUAUGACAAUUAUUGCUUAGACCAGCUGUUAUGUAGAUUAUGCUCCGGAGCUAUUCCGAUUCCGAUUCGAGCUUAUUUCGAUUCCGAUAUUCUGAUUCCAAUUCCAACUUCGAACCAAACACGCCCUUAGUUUAAAUACUAAAACUUCUGAAUUUUUACAAGUUCAUUUUAUUUCUUGGCAAUUUUAAAUCAUGGAAUAUGAAAUAAUAUUUAAUUAUAUUUAAAAUAAACUGAAAUAAGUAAAUUAUUCGGCAUGGAAGGGUAAAUUAUCGAUCAUGUUAUAAGAAAAUUAUUACGAUUUACCUCUUUCUUUUUUUCUUUACGUUCACAUAGUAAGGUGGUUGAAUUGAAAGUAAAGAGAAUUAAUUGUAACAUGAGAAUAGUACAUAAGCCAGUCAUAUAUUUUACUCUAUGUUUUUUAAAAAUUUAUGAGGAUUUAUUGUCAGCAUCUUUUUUUGCUGUCAAUUUAAUUUUAUACUUUUAAUUUAAUAAUUUAAUUUACUUUAGCUAUUAAAAUAAGAAAAAAGAGUAGCGCUUUCGCUGCCGUUCAUUCUCUCCUCUUCAAUGACUAAGAUUUAAUUUUUUUUAAAUUGUAACUUGCACUUUGAGAGAAAUACCAGUUAUCAGGUACCUCAAAAAAUAGUAUUUUUGUCUUUUAAUAUGAUUAAUUUAGUAAUUUUACCUUUACUAUAUUAUCAAAAUUUUUAUUCUCACUUUGUUUCCUUUUUCUUUCUCUUUUUUUACUUACAAAUUCAAUUUGUAAAGAACUAAAAUUUAAAAUAUCGACUAAAAACUAAAAAAAUUUAAUGGCAAAAUCAAAAUCAAUUUAAUAAAUUAAAUUAAUUAGACUGAUUAAAUUGAUAAAAUAUAUAAAUAGCUUAGAUUUGUUCAAUAUAAAUUUAUUUAAUUUAUCUAUAUUUAUAAUUUUAUUUACUCUAGUAAAACUCUAUGAUGGAGAUUUAUUAUAAGAUUAAAAUUUAAAUUAUACAGUCUAAAUUUAUUUAUUAGUAAGUUUAAAUUGCACUAUAUUAUUUAGAUUUAUUGGAGGUUUCUGUAUACUUUUUAGCUUCUAAACUUCAAAUUUAAUUUGUUUUCAACUUAUAUUUUAAAUUCCUAUACAUGAUCUUAUUAUUUUAAAAGUUCAAUUUUUACUAUUAAAAUUUGAAUUAAUUUUGCCCAUACAAUUCUAUUCUAAAAAUAAAUUUGCAUUAUACCUAAAUUUCUAAUCAAUUAUCCACAUUAAAUUUUUUAAAUAGUGAUAAAAUAUUAAUAUCUAAAUUAAAAAAAUCUUAAUUUUUUUCAAUUUAUUAAAUAUGUUGAAUUUAAAUAUUUGCCCACAUUCAAUUUUAUAAAAUUAGUAAUACAAAAUUAAUAUCUAAACAAGACGAAUUCAUAAUUGUGUUAAACAUAUUAAAUAUGUUAAAUUUAAGUAUUUACCAACAUUACAAAUUUUUUUAAAUAGUGAUACAAAAUAUUAAUGUCUAAAGUAGAACAAUUCUAAAAUUUUUUUAACAUAUUAAAUACAUUUAAUUUAUAACUUUUUACCUACAUUUAAAUUUUUUUAAAUAAGUGAUACAAAAUUAAUGUUUAAACUGUAGAAAUUUAAAAGUUUCUUAAAUAUAUUAAUAUGUUGAAUUAAAAUAUUUACCAACAUUACAAAUUUGUAAAAUAGUAAUACAAAAUUCCUCUAACUUAAAUUUAAAUUUUUAAUAUUUAAUAUUUAAUAUUUAAUAUUUAAAUUCAACCUAUUUAGAAAUAGAAUUAUUUCUAAAAUUCUUAUAAUUUAAAUUAAUGCCUAAAUUUGAGAAUUUCUAAAAUAAAUGCCUAAAUUAAUGCCUAAAUUUGGGUAAUCAAUCAAUUCCUCAAGUUAGUGCAAAUUAAUGCGUAAAUUUAGAAUAUCAAUUAGAAUUUUCUUUAAAUGUUGCAUAGUUUAAUUACAAAAAUAAUCUCGAAUGAAGUAAUUUUUUUANAUAUAUAUAUAUAUAUAUAUAUAUAAUUUUAAUUUUUAAUAACAAGUACUAAAUUGAUUGAAUUCUACUUGGAAACAAACAAGCGAGCUCCAUCAAAAUCAAUCAAUCUCAAAUUAAGACAAGUAUAUGAAAGUUACAUCUUACCAAAAUAUAUGAACAAUUAUUGUACUAUAUGUCAAUUUCGAAUCUUUAUUUAGAUAUGUAACCUUUUCAACUUUUUCUUACAAAAUCUUUUUCAAAUUGACUUAGAAUUAGUCAGUAAUUUCAAAGAGUAAAGAGAUAAAAUAUUAUUUAUAAAAAAACUAUUUUUUAAUGUUUAUAAAUUAGAAGCAUAAUAUAUAUCUUAAAAAUGUAAUGCAAUAACCAUUUUGAAAUUUUGGAAUUGUAUUAGGACCAUCCUUUUUUUUAACCUAUAGGUUGAUUCAAAAUUUGUGAACCCAGUAAAAUUUAUCUUGAGCAUUUAUUAAACAAUUUCUUCUUUCAAGAAAGUAUACAUUUCAUGAAUUUUUGUUUAAACCUAUAUUCUGUUUUUUUUAAAAAAAAUAUUUUUACAGAAUUUUUAGAAAGGCUAAUGUUGACCCUCCGUUGGCGGCUGUUAAGAUUUAGCAGUUGCUCCCACCCAGUAGGAGAAGUUGCUCUCAUCUAAACGUCAUCUUUUUUUUUUUCUUUCUUUUUGUUUUGGUUUUGAUUGAGGUUUACUACCUAAUUUCUGAUACUUAAUUCAUCGUUCUAAUAAAUAAAAUAGGUAGCGUACUUAAUUCAUCUUUUUAAUAAAUAAAAUAGGUAGUGUAUUAUCCUUAUCUAAAAAAAAAGUAAAAAAAAUAUUUCAGCAAUUGGUUGUGUAACUAAAUUGAAAUUAGGAUUCAAUAAGCUAGAAUUUUUAUUUAGAUUAAGAUCAAGAAUUAUUGUGCCACUGAUACGGGACCUGCUGGUAUGAUAUGGGAAAGGUACGGCGCACCGAUAAAUGUCCGGGCGCGCCAGUACCUACAACAUGGAGGCUAUGAGUCUUGAGGUAUUUAGAUACUAAGGCUUCGUUUGGUUCGGGGUUAAGUAAAAAUUAAUUAUUUCAGGGAUAGAGUUAAGUUUAAGAUUACGGUGGGGUUAGAGUAAUUUUGUGUUUGGUUGAUAAUUGAAUUUAGUACAUAUAUAAGCAAAAUGGUGUUUGGUUAGAAUUAGUAGAAUAAGAAUGAUAGUGGAUAGUUAUACAUAGAAAAUAAUAAUAUUGCCCCAAUUAUUAUAUUUGAAUUUAAAUUUAAAAAUUAAAUAAUUAAAAAUAAUAAUUUAAAACUUAAAAUUUAAAAUUAUUUUAAAUCUCAAAUUUAAAAAUUUAAAGUUACAAAUAUAAAAUGUCAAAUUUAAAAUUUAAAUAAUUAAAAAUAAUAAUUUAAAAUUCAAAUUUAAAAUUUAAAAUUUAUAUUUAUAUUUUUAAAUCUCAAAUUUAAAGUUACAAAUAUAAAAUAUCAAAUUUAAAUUUUAAAUAAUUAAAAAAAAUAAUUUAAAGUUUUAAAUUUAAAAUUUUUAAUUUUUAAAAAUAAAUAUUAUUUUUAAAUUUUUAAAUNNNNNNNNNNNNNNNNNNNNNNUUAAAAUUUAUAUUUAUAUUUAAAAAUUAAAUAGGGGUGGGAUUAACUUAAUCCCACCCCUAUUCCUUGGGAGGGUUGGGGUUAGCUAACCCGGUUAUGGGGUUAGCUAACCCCAUAACCGGGUUAGCUAACCCCAACCCCCCAAAUUCUUGUUUAGGAAUUAGGAUUAAAAGGGGGAUAACCUUCUUAUCCCCCUUUAACCCCGAAUCAAACGGUGUGUUAAACUUUAAAAUGUUAUAAUAUAUGAGUCGAAUUUUUUAAAUUAGUACAAUCAGAUCUCGUAAUAUAUUUAAUUGACUGAAUAUUAAAAAUAUCGCUUAUGUAAAAGUGGAAUCGUAGUAUUGUAAAUAAUAACGCAAUAAUAAUUAAAAUGUUGACUAUAUUGUUUUUACAACAGCGACGGUUAAUAUUAAGUAAGCUAAAUUAAAUUGUAAGACUUGACUAAAAUAUAUUAUGUUAUAUUAAAAUUUAAUAAUUAAAAUGUUAAAGUUUUAUAGUUUUGAGGACAAAGCGUAUAAUUUAACUAUUAACCAUUUUUAAUUGAAAAACUUUUGACUGAGAUGCACAAAUAAAACUGCCAAAGAGUGCAAUGUAAAACCCUACUCCUUAUUAUAUAUAUAUUUAUAUAUCUUAUCCAAAUAGAUGUACUCCCUUAUCACUUCUCAUCACUGUUAGAUACCCUUCACAAAGUCCCAUUCAAUGGCUUUCCCAUGUGCACCUUCUCUUCAAUCUCUAUUGAAGUACUCAUGUCCAGAGUUCCUCUUCUCUGUUUCCUUCUUUCUUCUUUUCCUCUUGUAUCGCCGCUGCUUGCACCAGACUAAAAAUGGAAAACCGUCGAACGUUCCGACGAACUGGCCGGUCGUUGGCAUGCUCCCGGGGCUCCUCGCGAACCUCUACCACUUCCACGACUGGGUCGCAGCGAUCCUCCGGGAGACGGGGGGCGACUUCUUCUGCUCCGGGCCGUGGCUCUCCAGCAUGGCGUUCUUCGCGACCGCCGACCCUGCGACGGUGCAGCACGUCUUCACCGCCAACUUCGCCAACUACCCCAAGGGCGACGAGUUCGCGGAGAUCUUCGACGUGCUCGGCGGCGGCAUCUUCAACGCCGACGGCGAAUCUUGGCGGGUCCAGCGGGGCCGGGCCCAGCUCCUGAUGGCCCACCAGAGGUUCCGCGGUUACGUCGCGAGGUGCAGCCGCGAGAAGGUGGAGAGCGGGCUGCUGCCGUUGCUCGGCCGCGCGGCGGAUGCCGGGGAUGUCGUCGACCUGCAGGACGUGUUCUUGAGGCUGACUUUCGAUACGACGACCAGACUGGUCUUCGGGGUCGACCCCGGCUGCCUGUCCGCCGGGCUGCGGACCGUGCCGUUCGCGAAGGCCAUGGACGACGCCAUGGCCACGCUCUUCCUCCGCCACACGAUGCCCGCGAC